rnacentral:rRNA from 1 species
GAUGAACGCUGGCGGCGUGCUUAACACAUGCAAGUCGAACGAAGCACCUUGAUUUGAUUCUUCGGAUGAAGAUCUUGGUGACUGAGUGGCGGACGGGUGAGUAACGCGUGGGUAACCUGCCUCAUACAGGGGGAUAACAGUUAGAAAUGACUGCUAAUACCGCAUAAGACCACCGCACCGCAUGGUGCAGGGGUAAAAACUCCGGUGGUAUGAGAUGGACCCGCGUCUGAUUAGGUAGUUGGUGGGGUAACGGCCUACCAAGCCGACGAUCAGUAGCCGACCUGAGAGGGUGACCGGCCACAUUGGGACUGAGACACGGCCCAAACUCCUACGGGAGGCAGCAGUGGGGAAUAUUGUACAAUGGGGGAAACCCUGAUGCAGCGACGCCGCGUGAGCGAUGAAGUAUUUCGGUAUGUAAAGCUCUAUCAGCAGGGAAGAAAAUGACGGUACCUGACGAAGAAGCACCGGCUAAAUACGUG